rnacentral:rRNA from 1 species
CGAGUUUGAUCCUGGCUCAGAUUGAACGCUGGCGGAAUGCUUUACACAUGCAAGUCGAACGGUAGAGGGGGCAACCCCUUGAGAGUGGCGAACGGGUGAGUAAUAUAUCGGAACGUGCCCGGUCGUGGGGGAUAACGUAGCGAAAGCUACGCUAAUACCGCAUACGAUCUACGGAUGAAANCGGGGGAUCGCAAGACCUCGCGCGAUUGGAGCGGCCGAUAUCAGAUUAGGUAGUUGGUGAGGUAAAGGCUCACCAAGCCAACGAUCUGUAGCUGGUCUGAGAGGACGACCAGCCACACUGGAACUGAGACACGGUCCAGACUCCUACGGGAGGCAGCAGUGGGGAAUUUUGGACAAUGGGCGCAAGCCUGAUCCAGCAAUGCCGCGUGCAGGAUGAAGGCCUUCGGGUUGUAAACUGCUUUUGUACGGAACGAAACGGUGAGCUCUAAUACAGUUUGCUAAUGACGGUACCGUAAGAAUAAGCACCGGCUAACUACGUG